rnacentral:rRNA from 1 species
GAUGAACGCUGGCGGCGUGCCUAAUACAUGCAAGUCGAGCGAAAGGACGAGGAGCUUGCUGCUCUGAUGUUAGGGGCGGGCGGGAGAGAAACACGUGGAAAACGUACCUAUAAGACUGGGAUAACUUCGGGAAACCGGAGCUAAUAGCGGAGAAGAUUUUGAACCGCAUGGUUCGAAAGUGAAAGACGGUGUUGGUGUCACUAAUAGAUGGAUCCGCGCUGCAUUAGCUAGUUGGUAAGGUAACGGCCUACGAAGGCAACGAUGCCUAGCCGACCUGAGAGGGUGAUCGGCCACCCUGGAACUGGGACACCGUCCUGACUCCUACGGGAGGCAGCAGUAUGGAAUCUUCCGCAAUGGGCGGGAGCCUUACGGAGCAGCCCCGCGCGAGUGAUGACGGUCCUCGGAUCGUGAAACUCUGUUAUUAGGGAAGAACAUAUGUCUAAGUUACUGUGCACAGCUUGACGGUACCUAAUCAGAAAGCCACGGCUAACUACGUG